ACGGCUCAGUAACACGUGGAUAACCUGCCCUUGGGACCGGCAUAACCCCGGGAAACUGGGGAUAAUUCCGGAUAACGCAUAUGUGCUGGAAUGCUUUAUGCGUAAAAUGGAUUCGUCUGCCCAAGGAUGGGUCUGCGGCCUAUCAGGUAGUAGUGGGUGUAAUGUACCUACUAGCCGACAACGGGUACGGGUUGUGAGAGCAAGAGCCCGGAGAUGGAUUCUGAGACAUGAAUCCAGGCCCUACGGGGCGCAGCAGGCGCGAAAACUUUACAAUGCGGGAAACCGUGAUAAGGGGACACCGAGUGUCAGCAUCAUAUGCUGGCUGUCCGGGUGUGUAAAAUACACCCGUUAGCAAGGGCCGGGCAAGACCGGUGCCAGCCGCCGCGGUAACACCGGCGGCCCGAGUGGUGAUCGUGAUUAUUGGGUCUAAAGGGUCCGUAGCCGGUUUGGUCAGUCCUCCGGGAAAUCUGAUAGCUCAACUAUUAGGCUAUCGGGGGAUACUACCAGACUUGGAACCGGGAGAGGUAAGAGGUACUACAGGGGUAGGAGUGAAAUCUUGUAAUCCCUGUGGGACCACCUGUGGCGAAGGCGUCUUACCAGAACGGGUUCGACGGUGAGGGACGAAAGCUGGGGGCACGAACCGGAUUAGAUACCCGGGUAGUCCCAGCCGUAAACGAUGCUCGCUAGGUGUCAGGCAUGGCGCGACCGUGUCUGGUGCCGCAGGGAAGCCGUGAAGCGAGCCACCUGGGAAGUACGGCCGCAAGGCUGAAACUUAAAGGAAUUGGCGGGGGAGCAC
rnacentral:rRNA from 1 species